UACGUAGGUGACAAGCGUUGUCCGGAUUUACUGGGCGUAAAGAGCGCGCAGGCGGUCGUUCAAGUCGAGUGUGAAAGCCCCCGGCUCAACUGGGGAGGGUCACUCGAUACUGAUCGACUCGAAGGCAGGAGAGGGAAGUGGAAUUCCCGGUGUAGUGGUGAAAUUCGUAGAUAUUGGGAAGAACACCGGUGGCGAAGGCGGCUCUCUGGACCGAGACUGACGCUGAGGCGCGAAAGCGUGGGGAGCAAACAGG
rnacentral:rRNA from 1 species